AUUGCGCAAGCUUCCCGUUGGAUCUGUCUCCGCAUGCGGUGUCAAACAUAGGUUCAACUUCAACAUCCAGGCAGGAGAUUCCCGGAAAGCCGCUGAUAAUGUAGCACUCAUCCUGUUCGUAGCUGAAUGCAAUCCGAUCAUGUCCGAUUGCCAGGACUAAGAUUAGAGCGAAUCAAAAUUUCAAUCUGGAUGAUGUUGAGAUAUGUCCUGCAUUCCGCUUGGCAACGUAAAGCAGACACAAAUCUAGGCCGAAGCUCAACCCAUAUCAAAAAUUCAGUGUAUAUUGAGUAAAAAGACCCACAAUGCAAAUUAAGUGUAUGCUUAUUUAUCGUUAGUUUAAUUCAAAUAAAAAUGAAGUUCUCAAUUUA
rnacentral:lncRNA from 1 species